GAUGAACGCUGGCGGCGUGCCUAAUACAUGCAAGUCGAGCGAACAGACGAGGAGCUUGCUCCUCUGACGUUAGCGGCGGACGGGUGAGUAACACGUGGAUAACCUACCUAUAAGACUGGGAUAACUUCGGGAAACCGGAGCUAAUACCGGAUAAUAUAUUGAACCGCAUGGUUCAAUAGUGAAAGACGGUUUUGCUGUCACUUAUAGAUGGAUCCGCGCCGCAUUAGCUAGUUGGUAAGGUAACGGCUUACCAAGGCGACGAUGCGUAGCCGACCUGAGAGGGUGAUCGGCCACACUUGAACUGAGACACGGUCCAGGCUCCUACGGGAGGCAGCAGUAGGGAAUCUUCCGCAAUGGGCGAAAGCCUGACGGAGCAACGCCGCGUGAGUGAUGAAGGUCUUCGGAUCGUAAAACUCUGUUAUUAGGGAAGAACAAAUGUGUAAGUAACUAUGCACGUCUUGACGGUACCUAAUCAGAAAGCCACGGCUAACUACGUG
rnacentral:rRNA from 1 species